rnacentral:rRNA from 1 species
GUGAGGAAUAUUGGUCAAUGGGCGGAAGCCUGAACCAGCCAAGUCGCGUGAGGGAAUAAGGCCCUACGGGUCGUAAACCUCUUUUGCCGGGGAGCAAGGGCGGGGACGUGUCCCGGCCCGGAGAGUACCCGGAGAAAAAGCAUCGGCUAACUCCGUGCCAGCAGCCGCGGUAAUACGGAGGAUGCGAGCGUUAUCCGGAUUUAUUGGGUUUAAAGGGUGCGUAGGCGGGCUUUUAAGUCAGCGGUAAAAAUUCGGGGCUCAACCCCGUCCGGCCGUUGAAACUGGGGGCCUUGAGUGGGCGAGAAGAAGGCGGAAUGCGUGGUGUAGCGGUGAAAUGCAUAGAUAUCACGCAGAACCCCGAUUGCGAAGGCAGCCUUCCGGCGCCCUACUGACGCUGAGGCACGAAAGUGCGGGGAUCGAACAGGAUUAGAAACCCCAGUAGUCC